rnacentral:rRNA from 1 species
GAGUUUGAUCCUGGCUCAGAUUGAACGCUGGCGGCAUGCUUUACACAUGCAAGUCGGACGGCAGCACAGAGAAGCUUGCUUCUUGGGUGGCGAGUGGCGAACGGGUGAGUAACGCAUCGGAACGUACCGAGUAGUGGGGGAUAACUGUCCGAAAGGAUGGCUAAUACCGCAUACGCUUUGAGAAGGAAAGCGGGGGAUCUUCGGACCUCGCGCUAUUCGAGCGGCCGAUGUCUGAUUAGCUAGUUGGUGGGGUAAAGGCCUACCAAGGCGACGAUCAGUAGCGGGUCUGAGAGGAUGAUCCGCCACACUGGGACUGAGACACGGCCCAGACUCCUACGGGAGGCAGCAGUGGGGAAUUUUGGACAAUGGGCGCAAGCCUGAUCCAGCCAUGCCGCGUGUCUGAAGAAGGCCUUCGGGUUGUAAAGGACUUUUGUCAGGGAAGAAAAGCUUUGGGUUAAUACCCUGGAGUGAUGACGGUACCUGAAGAAUAAGCACCGGCUAACUACGUGCCAGCAGCCGCGGUAAUACGUAGGGUGCGAGCGUUAAUCGGAAUUACUGGGCGUAAAGCGAGCGCAGACGGUUUGUUAAGCAGGAUGUGAAAUCCCCGGGCUCAACCUGGGAACUGCGUUCUGAACUGGCAGGCUAGAGUAUGUCAGAGGGGGGUAGAAUUCCACGUGUAGCAGUGAAAUGCGUAGAGAUGUGGAGGAAUACCGAUGGCGAAGGCAGCCCCCUGGGAUAAUACUGACGUUCAUGCUCGAAAGCGUGGGUAGCAAACAGGAUUAGAUACCCUGGUAGUCCACGCCCUAAACGAUGUCAAUUAGCUGUUGGGGCACUUGAUGCCUUAGUAGCGUAGCUAACGCGUGAAAUUGACCGCCUGGGGAGUACGGUCGCAAGAUUAAAACUCAAAGGAAUUGACGGGGACCCGCACAAGCGGUGGAUGAUGUGGAUUAAUUCGAUGCAACGCGAAGAACCUUACCUGGUCUUGACAUGUACGGAAUCCUCCAGAGACGGAGGAGUGCCUUCGGGAGCCGUAACACAGGUGCUGCAUGGCUGUCGUCAGCUCGUGUCGUGAGAUGUUGGGUUAAGUCCCGCAACGAGCGCAACCCUUGUCAUUAGUUGCCAUCAUUUAGUUGGGCACUCUAAUGAGACUGCCGGUGACAAACCGGAGGAAGGUGGGGAUGACGUCAAGUCCUCAUGGCCCUUAUGACCAGGGCUUCACACGUCAUACAAUGGUCGGUACAGAGGGUAGCCAAGCCGCGAGGUGGAGCCAAUCCCAAAAAACCGAUCGUAGUCCGGAUUGCACUCUGCAACUCGAGUGCAUGAAGUCGGAAUCGCUAGUAAUCGCAGGUCAGCAUACUGCGGUGAAUACGUUCCCGGGUCUUGUACACACCGCCCGUCACACCAUGGGAGUGGGGGAUACCAGAAGUAGGUAGGGUAACCGCAAGGAGCCCGCUUACCACGGUAUGCUUCAUGACUGGGGUGAAGUCGUAACAAGGUAGCCGUAGGGGAACCUGCGGCUGGAUCACCUCCUU